rnacentral:rRNA from 1 species
UACGUAGGGGGCAAGCGUUGUCCGGAUUUAUUGGGCGUAAAGAGCGUGUAGGCGGCCAUACAGGUCCGUUGUGAAAACUGGAGGCUUAACCUCCAGACGUCGAUGGAAACCGUAUGGCUAGAGUCCGGAAGAGGAGAGUGGAAUUCCUGGUGUAGCGGUGAAAUGCGCAGAUAUCAGGAAGAACACCCGUGGCGAAGGCGGCUCUCUGACGGUACUGACGCUGAGACGCGAAAGCGUGGGGAGCGAACAGG